rnacentral:rRNA from 1 species
UACGGAGGGUGCGAGCGUUAUUCGGAAUUACUGGGCGUAAAGCGCGUGCAGGCGGGUGUAUAAGUCUGAUGUGAAAGCCCCGGGCUUAACCUGGGAAGUGCAUUGGAAACUAUACAUCUUGAGUACUGGAGAGGAAGGGGGAAUUCCCGGUGUAGAGGUGAAAUUCGUAGAGAUCGGGAGGAAUACCAGUGGCGAAGGCGCCCUUCUGGACGGUAACUGACGCUGAGACGCGAAAGCGUGGGGAG